rnacentral:lncRNA from 10 species
GGGAUUCUGUGGAAGAAUAGGUUGUCAGGCAUUUACCUUAUUACCACUCAAAUACCAGUGUGUGUGUGUUGGGGGGGCGGCAGGGAGAGGGGGUAGGUGACAGUAUGUGACUCAGUUGGAAGAAAUGGGUUGUUGAGUGUGUUAAGGCUGGGAUGAAGAAGGGCUGGGCAGUACUCUUCUGGAAAGGCUCACCUAGCACGAACCUGCUUGUCUCCCUUACUAGUGGAGGUAUCUGAGUGUGAACAGUGAAGGUAAAGAGUGGUAUAGAACAAUGCAGCUGUAUCUGUCACAAACUGGUCUUAUCUAGAAACAUCUGCUGAGUCUCUAACCCUUUCAGCUUUCUCUUCUUUUUUGAGACAGAGUCUUGCUUUGUUGCCCAGGCUGGAGUGCAGUGGCAAGUCACCACUUACUGCAGCUUUAAGCUCCUGGGCUCAAGCAAUCGUCCUGCCCCAGCCUCCUGAGUAGUUGGGACAACAGUCGUGCACUAUGAUGCUUGGCUAAUUUUUUUUUUAUUUUUGUAGAGAUGAGGUCUUGCUAUGUUGCCCAGGCUGGUCUUGAACUCCUGGGCUCAAGCAAUCUGGGACCUAAAUG